CUCGAGGUUAGUUCGGGCUAGAGCGUCCGGUGAGGGUGGAGGGAGCCACGAGUUCUUUGCUAGAGGAAGACCAAAGACUAGGUUGUAGGAAAAGCAAAUAGAAGCCAUGUUUCGGAGACCUGUAUUACAGGUGUUUCAUCAGUUUGUAAGACGUGAGUCUGAAAUAGCCAGCAGCUUGGUUCUUGAAAGAUCUCUGAACCGUGUGCAGCUCCUUGGGCGAGUGGGUCAGGACCCCGUCAUGAGACAAGUGGAAGGGAAGAACCCGGUCACAAUAUUUUCUCUAGCAACGAAUGAGAUGUGGCGGUCAGGGGAGAGUGAAGUAUACCAAAUGGAUUUAGGUGAUGUCAGUCAAAAGACGACAUGGCACAGAAUAUCAGUAUUCCGACCAGGCCUCAGAGAUGUGGCAUAUCAGUAUGUGAAAAAGGGGUCCCGUAUCUAUGUGGAAGGGAAAGUCGACUAUGGUGAAUACACAGAUAAAAACAAUGUGAGGCGACAGGCAACAACAAUCAUAGCUGAUAAUAUUAUAUUUCUGAGUGACCAGACCAAAGAAAAGGCAUAGAGUGGACGAUUCUUCUUUGGCCAUUGUUUGGAACAGUAGAAAAGGAAUUGCCGUUUCCUCAUAUCAGCCGUCUUUUUUCCUGCAGCUGGGACCAUUAAUCAGUACAUGAACUCUGCUUUGUGAGUUUAUACGUUAAAACUGUCUGGUGAUGUAGCCCUCACUUCUUUAUGCCACAUUCCUUAAGGAAAAUGUAGAUAAAAUUGAUCUUUGGGCAACUCAUCGUUAGCAAAAGCUGCUUUCACACUCCUUAAAAGUUGUGAGAAGUUCUGCAGAUUAGUAUACCUGUUUAAAUAGUGUGAUGAAUCUGUGCUUUGGGAAGGUAAUAGGUGAACAGACCAAUUCAGUGACCAGCCCAGAGCAGCUCUGAGUCCAGGGCGCAGGGGCAGAAAGCUGCGCCCCGCCGGAUCCCUGUGAGCCGAAGACGUCGCCGCCCUCCCACUGCAGGUUGCCUGGAAGGCUCUGAGGUUGGGCAGCAGGGCCUUCAGAGGCGGGCGUUCGGUGCAGAGGCCUCGGCAUGAGGCUGAUGGUGCAGAUGUGAGGUCCGCAACUGGGCAGCUCCCAGAGCAUGGACUCUGCCCUUCCCUUCCUCGGGCAGCCCUGGGUGCUGAGAACUCUGCACCUCUCCCAAGCUGGUCUCGGAGUAGAUGUGUGGAACCUGGUAGCUUUAACAGUCGGUCAGGGUCUUGUAGCCCCAUGUUUUGUGUCUUGCAUUCCCUUUGUCAUCUUUUCACGGUGUCAGGGAAUAUUCCUGUGGAAAACUGCCGUGUGACUUUGAUUUUGGGAUUCCAUGUCGGGUGGGAAGAUGAGUAGGAUACACGGAGGUGUGGGAGAGAAGGUAGCAGCACGUGUGGUACUCUCCCAUUUUUGAAAAAGAAGUAAUAGGUAUGAAUAUAUGUUUAGUAAAAGUCUGGGAGGAGAAACAUCAAAAGGUUGUGAUGAUCUCUGGAUGGGGGGAUUAUGUGUGAGUUUCCUUAUUAUUCUUACUGUUUUUUAGCCUUGAGCUUCUAUUACUUUUGACAAUAAAAACCAAAUAAACUGUUUUCACUUUUGGAAAACAAAAAUCUUUCCAUUAUUUCCAAGCCAGGCUGGCACUGCUGACUGACCUUCAUUUAGUACUUACUGCUUCCUGUCCCAGAGGCGAACAAGAUAUCUUUCAUGUAUUUCCCUCCAUUGUCUGCAUCUUUGUAGUGCAUGCUCAGAUACUUCGCUUACCUUUUUUUCCCUUCUUUUUCUUUUCUUUUCCUCUUAAUACAUGUAUAUAACCUACAACAAUUGACUUUAAAGACCAACCCGUAUGAGAUCCACUGUUUGCUGUCUGUAGUUUUCAAAGAGUCAUUCAUUUCUUAAAAACGACUGGGCAGUUAAUCCAGAGACAUCCAAAAAUACCAAAGACAUGUUUUUGUGGCUGUUUUGGGGAUUUCUUGUCAUUGCCAACUGGGUUGCAGCCUAACCUUUGCAGCUCAGGAGGAAUUAUUGGUGGUUUCCCUUUGUUCCCCAAAGAGAUUGUGCAGUUCUUGAAGGUGGGGUUAUCUUUUACUCAGACUACCCGUUUGUCCCUGUCUAGCUUAGCCUAGCAAAGUGACAUUAUAGGGCUUUCAAAAUGUUUGGUUGGAUUGCACUGAAACAUUGACAUGAAAAUGAAGGCAGGCUUACUUUACUUAUUUUUCUGUCAGGGUUUGCAUUAAGUGCUGUGAAGCUUGGUGGGAGUAAUAGCAAGCAAAUCGUUGUAGAAAACUUGGUGAGUUACAGAGAAAUCUCUUAGGGAAAACAAUUACCAUAUUGAAGGCUGACCUUUUUGUGUACGUACUAGGUGCCAGGCCCUGAGCUCAGUGCUUUUUAUCAUUGUCUCAUUUCACUAUUACCCUAAGAAGGUGGUAUUAUCCUGAUUUUGCAGGUGAGGAAACCUGAAACUGCGUGGUUAAGUAACAUGUCAAAGUCAUGCAGCUUAUAAGAGGCACAGCUGGAGUUUGAGUUUAGUUAACUGUUGCUAAGGGGGUAGAAGCAGACGCCAUUUGGUGGUGCUUCCAGGAAAGCUCCUUAAAUGAUUAGCUCUGUUGGGAGGCUCAUCCUUUGUGCUUCUCCAGACCCUCACCUGGCUUUUUCUGGUCUGAAAUGUGGACAUGAUGGCUGAGAGUCUCCAGUAGCCAUUUUAGACCACAAGACUAUCUGCAGGAUGGAAGAUGGAAGAGGCUGGAGUCCGUGAUGACCAUGGAACCACCAUCGCGGUCCUGGACAGUCUACCUCUGGACUUCUUUGGGAGACACAAAUAAAUCUCUACCUUGUUUAAGCCACUUAUUUGUGAUUUGCAUUUAAACCUAAUUCUUACCAACUCACACAUUCUUUAUCUCCGUAUACACAAUUCAUUACUUCAGUUCUUUCUCUUCUAAGACCGUUCACUACUGGUAGAAGUAAAAUAUCACCUCUACUGCCACAGUCUCUCAGACUUUUAACCUAGGUCUCAUUCUUAAUUUUGGGAGGGACUGGGACAUAAAAUGUACAUGGAUCCUUAGCAAAUACCUUAAAAAAGGUAAAUACAAACUUUUUUUUAUCAGAUAGUUUAAUUUUGCCUGAAGCCUGAAAUGAGGACCCUUAGUUAACAGCCCCUUGUUUACUAAAGUAGCACGUAAAUAAGAACAGAAGUACUGACCUUCUGCUUCUCCUGGCAGUAUAGCAGACUAGCUAAUCUGGAGUGAGGAGGUGUCCCACUGCAAAAUAAGUAUGACAUAGUUUUUAUUGCAUUCUAGAGAAUCUAAGUUCGGGCCGCCAUAACAAAAUACCAUAGAGUAGGUGAUUUAAACAACAGACGUUUUGCGAUUCUGGAGGCUAGAAGUCUCAGAACGGGGUGCAGGAUGGUUGGUUUCCUGGGAGGCCCAUGUUGCUGGCUUAUAAGUGGCUACCAUCUCACCGUGUCCUCACAUGGCCUCCUAUUUGUGCUGGCAGAGCAUGAACUCUCUGGUGUCUAUAAGGACACUAAUGCAGUUGUGUCAGGGCCCCACCCUUAGGGCCUGGGUUCACUUUAUCUUCUUACUGGCCCAAUCUCAAAAUGUAGUUACAUUGGGGAUUAGACUUCUAUAUGUGAAUGUUGAGUGGGCACAGUUCAAUCUGUAGCAUUGGGCUUGCAGGAAGAAAGGGACUUUUUCAAGUGACAGGUUCUAAACUAAACGGAAACGAGCAAUAAGUAGGUGACACACUGAAAAAAGGGAGUUCCCUGAUGACAUGCUAAUACUGACAUCAUGGUUUGGAGAUAAAAACAAAGGAUAUGUGUCAAAGGUGUGCCUCAAACAGACUUGAAAUUAGAAGAGCAUUUUUCGUAAAAUGAAAAAGGCAAGGAUGUCUUAUCACUACUUCUCUUUGACAGGUUGUUUGUACUGAGGCUUUAGCAAGCAUAGUUGGGAAGGAAAGAAAACGUAUUAAGAUGGAAAGGAAGAAAGUCACAAAUGCUGUGAUUACACAGAAACCAUGAAAGAAAAGAAUCUGUAGAUGAAUAAUUAAAAGUUGCUGGAAAUAAGAUCAGUUUACAAAAAACUGCAAACAGCAGUGAAGAUGCCAUGUACAAGAGCAUCAGAAAAUGAGUCUUCCAAGAGUGUGGUCUCUGUGGAGCACAUUAUGAAACUUGAUUGAAAUACGUUAAAAGAAGACUAAACACAUUGGUAAAUCAUGUUUAUUGUAAGCACCAAUCAUGUAAAGAUUUCAACCCUCCCCCACAUUGAUGUUACAGAUCAAAACAAAAAUUCCCAGUUUCUUGGGGGCAACUGGACAAGUUGACUCUAAAGAUGCGUUGAUACGCAAAGGUCCACGAUCACACAACAUACUUCUGAAGAAGAGUGAGAUGGGGGACUUGCUCUGCCAGUUGGCAAGCCUUUUUAAAACGAAAGCUAUAGUGAUAAAAAAACUGUUCUAUGGAUACAGGAAUAAACAGGGCAGUGGCGUAGCAAAGAGAACCCAGAAACAGACCAUGCAUAUGUAGAAAAUGAUAAAAGUGGCAUAGAUCAGUGGGUCUAGAUUGUUUCAAUUAUGCCAGGGAGAUUUGUUAUCCAUGCAGAAGAAAAUGAAAUCAGGUAUCUACACCUUAUGCAAAGAUAAAUUCUUGGUGAUUUAAAGACAUUUGUGAAAGGCAAAAUUAAAAAUUUUGGAAGAAACUAUAAUACAAUGUCUAUGAUCUGGUGGCAUAGAAAUGUUCUCUUUUAAACAAAAAUGUAAAUACAGAGAAGAGGGAUACAUUUAACUGUUAAAAAUAGCUUGUUUAUAGAAAGCCACUGGAAAGAAAGCAAAAUGACAAGUCACAAACUGGAGAGAAGAUAUUUGCAAUCAUAUAACUGAAAUAUAACUUAGAAUAUAUAAGGGUUGCAAAGCAAAAAAAAUACGAUCUAGAAUAUAGGAAGGCCUACAAAGCAACCAGGAGACAACCGGUUAGAAAAAUGGGCAAAGACACAGAGGCUGUGAAAUAUAAAUAAUCCAUUCAUAUGUGAAAAAGUGGUCAACUUCAUUAAUAAGGAAAACCACUUGCAAUGUUGUGGAUGGGGCUAGAGUGUAUUAUGCUAAG